rnacentral:rRNA from 1 species
GAUGAACGCUAGCGGCAGGCUUAACACAUGCAAGUCGAGGGGUAUAGUUCUUCGGAAUUAGAGACCGGCGCACGGGUGCGUAACGCGUAUGCAAUCUACCUUUCACAGAGGGAUGGCCCAGAGAAAUUUGGAUUAAUACCUCAUAGUAUAGCAGUUUCGCAUGAAACCACUAUUAAAGUCACAACGGUGAAAGAUGAGCAUGCGUCCCAUUAGCUAGUUGGUAAGGUAACGGCUUACCAAGGCAACGAUGGGUAGGGUCCUGAGAGGGAGAUCCCCCANACUGGUACUGAGACACGGACCAGACUCCUACGGGAGGCAGCAGUGAGGAAUAUUGGAACAAUGGGCGCAAGCCUGAUCCAGCCAUGCCGCGUGCAGGAUGACGGU